GAUGAACGCUGGCGGCGUGCUUAACACAUGCAAGUCGAACGAGAAGUGAAGACGGAAACCUUCGGGCGGAAGGCUUUAUUUCGAGUGGCGGACGGGUGAGUAACGCGUGGGUAACCUGCCUCAUACAGGGGGAUAACAGUUGGAAACGACUGUUAAUACCGCAUAAGACCACAGCACCGCAUGGUGCGGGGGUAAAAACUCCGGUGGUAUGAGAUGGACCCGCGUUCGAUUAGCCAGUUGGCGGGGUAACGGCCGACCAAAGCGACGAUCGAUAGCCGAGCUGAGAGGAUGACCGGCCACAUUGGGACUGAGACACGGCCCAAACUCCUACGGGAGGGAGCAGUGGGGAAUAUUGCGCGAUGGGGGAAAACCUGAUGCAGCGACGCCGCGGGAGUGAAGAAGUAUUUCGGUAUGUAAAGCUCUAUCAGCAGGGAAGAAAAUGACGGUACCUGAGGAAGAAGCCCCGGCUAACUACGUG
rnacentral:rRNA from 1 species